UCCUCUCUCUGGAUCUUUGCAGUGGGAUGCUUCUCGUUUUAUCCCAGUAACAGGAGUUUCUUCAAAACCACCCCUGCCUCUCACAGCAUGUUUUGACCUCCGAAGGGAGAAAACUGCAGCUGCAACCAGUCAACCAUAGCAGCCAAAGAGCAGGCGCCAGUAGCCCUCCUGGAAGCAGAAAUGGUUCUUGCACGCCUGCUUUGGUUUUUCAUGAUGUCAUCCAUUCAUCAUUGUGAGCUGACUGGCUGCCCCUCAGGCCUUGGCCAGGUGCCCAUGAUCAGAAGGGAAGAGACAGAUCCCAGGACAACUGUGCAGAGGGCCCCUGAGCAUGUGCAGACAUGAUGACAUCAGUUCCACCUAGAAAGACUUGGUGGAAAUCGAAGAAGACAGUAAAAGUCAGAAGGAGCAGAGACUGGAAAGAAAUCUAUAAGGCUUCCAACACCAUGGCCCUUGGGGUGACCUCCUCCGUACCUUGCCUUCCCCUUCCGAACAUCCUCCUUAUGGCCAGAGUCAUAUGGCAUCAGGGGCAGAGCCAGACAUGGAACAGACCGUCCACAGUGC
rnacentral:lncRNA from 1 species